AGAGUUUGAUCAUGGCUCAGAUUGAACGCUGGCGGCAGGCCUAACACAUGCAAGUCGAACGGUAACAGGAAACAGCUUGCUGUUUCGCUGACGAGUGGCGGACGGGUGAGUAAUGUCUGGGAAACUGCCUGAUGGAGGGGGGAUAACUACUGGAAACGGUAGCUAAUACCGCAUAACGUCGCAAGACCAAAGAGGGGGACCUUCGGGCCUCUUGCCAUCGGAUGUGCCCAGUGGGAUUAGCUUGUUGGUGGGGUAACGGCUCACCAAGGCGACGAUCCCUAGCUGGUCUGAGAGGAUGACCAGCCACACUGGAACUGAGACACGGUCCAGACUCCUACGGGAGGCAGCAGUGGGGAAUAUUGCACAAUGGGCGCAAGCCUGAUGCAGCCAUGCCGCGUGUAUGAAGAAGGCCUUCGGGUUGUAAAGUACUUUCAGCGGGGAGGAAGGGAGUAAAGUUAAUACCUUUGCUCAUUGACGUUACCCGCAGAAGAAGCACCGGCUAACUCCGUGCCAGCAGCCGCGGUAAUACGGAGGGUGCAAGCGUUAAUCGGAAUUACUGGGCGUAAAGCGCACGCAGGCGGUUUGUUAAGUCAGAUGUGAAAUCCCCGGGCUCAACCUGGGAACUGCAUCUGAUACUGGCAAGCUUGAGUCUCGUAGAGGGGGGUAGAAUUCCAGGUGUAGCGGUGAAAUGCGUAGAGAUCUGGAGGAAUACCGGUGGCGAAGGCGGCCCCCUGGACGAAGACUGACGCUCAGGUGCGAAAGCGUGGGGAGCAAACAGGAUUAGAUACCCUGGUAGUCCACGCCGUAAACGAUGUCGACUUGGAGGUUGUGCCCUUGAGGCGUGGCUUCCGGAGCUAACGCGUUAAGUCGACCGCCUGGGGAGUACGGCCGCAAGGUUAAAACUCAAAUGAAUUGACGGGGGCCCGCACAAGCGGUGGAGCAUGUGGUUUAAUUCGAUGCAACGCGAAGAACCUUACCUGGUCUUGACAUCCACGGAAGUUUUCAGAGAUGAGAAUGUGCCUUCGGGAACCGUGAGACAGGUGCUGCAUGGCUGUCGUCAGCUCGUGUUGUGAAAUGUUGGGUUAAGUCCCGCAACGAGCGCAACCCUUAUCCUUUGUUGCCAGCGGUCCGGCCGGGAACUCAAAGGAGACUGCCAGUGAUAAACUGGAGGAAGGUGGGGAUGACGUCAAGUCAUCAUGGCCCUUACGACCAGGGCUACACACGUGCUACAAUGGCGCAUACAAAGAGAAGCGACCUCGCGAGAGCAAGCGGACCUCAUAAAGUGCGUCGUAGUCCGGAUUGGAGUCUGCAACUCGACUCCAUGAAGUCGGAAUCGCUAGUAAUCGUGGAUCAGAAUGCCACGGUGAAUACGUUCCCGGGCCUUGUACACACCGCCCGUCACACCAUGGGAGUGGGUUGCAAAAGAAGUAGGUAGCUUAACCUUCGGGAGGGCGCUUACCACUUUGUGAUUCAUGACUGGGGUGAAGUCGUAACAAGGUAACCGUAGGGGAACCUGCGGUUGGAUCACCU
rnacentral:rRNA from 1 species